GAUGAACGCUGGCGGCGUGCCUAAUACAUGCAAGUCGAGCGAACAGAUGAGGAGCUUGCUCCUCUGACGUUAGCGGCGGACGGGUGAGUAACACGUGGAUAACCUACCUAUAAGACUGGGAUAACUUCGGGAAACCGGAGCUAAUACCGGAUAAUAUAUUGAACCGCAUGGUUCAAUAGUGAAAGACGGUUUUGCUGUCACUUAUAGAUGGAUCCGCGCCGCAUUAGCUAGUUGGUAAGGUAACGGCUUACCAAGGCAACGAUGCGUAGCCGACCUGAGAGGGUGUACGGCCACACUGGAACUGAGACACGGUCCAGACUCCUACGGGAGGCAGCAGUAGGGAAUCUUCCGCAAUGGGCGAAAGCUUGACGGAGCAACGCCGCGUGAGUGAUGAAGGUCUUCGGAUCGUAAAACGCUGUUAUUAGGGAAGAACAAAUGUGUAAGUAACGAUGCACGUCUGGACGGUACCGAAACAGAAAGCCACGGCUAACUACGG
rnacentral:rRNA from 1 species